UAGGGGAGUACCACUGUGCCUGG
rnacentral:piRNA from 1 species